UGCCCUAGUAACGGCGAGUGAAGCGGCAACAGCUCAAAUUUGAAAUCUGGCUUUCGGGCCCGAGUUGUAAUUUGUAGAGGAUACUUUUGAUGCGGUGCCUUCCGAGUUCCCUGGAACGGGACGCCAUAGAGGGUGAGAGCCCCGUCUGGUUGGAUGCCAAAUCUCUGUAAAGUUCCUUCGACGAGUCGAGUAGUUUGGGAAUGCUGCUCUAAAUGGGAGGUAUAUGUCUUCUAAAGCUAAAUAUUGGCCAGAGACCGAUAGCGCACAAGUAGAGUGAUCGAAAGAUGAAAAGCACUUUGAAAAGAGAGUUAAAAAGUACGUGAAAUUGUUGAAAGGGAAGCGUUUAUGACCAGACUUGGACUUGGUUAAUCAUCUGGGGUUCUCCCCAGUGCACUUUUCCAGUUCAGGCCAGCAUCAGUUUUCGCCGGGGGAUAAAGGCUUCGGGAAUGUAGCUCUCUUCGGGGAGUGUUAUAGCCCGUUGUGUAAUACCCUGGCGGAGACUGAGGUUCGCGCUUCUGCAAGGAUGCUGGCGUAAUG
rnacentral:rRNA from 1 species